rnacentral:rRNA from 1 species
GACGAACGCUGGCGGCGUGCUUAACACAUGCAAGUCGAGCGAGGCCCAUCCUUCGGGGUGGUGCCCUAGCGGCGAACGGGUGAGUAACACGUGGGCAACCUGCCCUCAGCUCUGGGAUAACUCCAAGAAAUUGGUGCUAAUACCGGAUGUGACCGCUGACCGCAUGGUCUGGUGGUGGAAAGAUUCAUCGGCUGAGGAUGGGCCCGCGGCCCAUCAGCUUGUUGGUGGGGUAAUGGCCCACCAAGGCGACGACGGGUAGCCGGCCUGAGAGGGUGACCGGCCACACUGGGACUGAGACACGGCCCAGACUCCUACGGGAGGCAGCAGUGGGGAAUAUUGCGCAAUGGGCGAAAGCCUGACGCAGCGACGCCGCGUGAGGGAUGACGGCCUUCGGGUUGUAAACCUCUUUCAGUAGGGACGAAGCGAAAGUGACGGUACCUACAGAAGAAGCACCGGCCAACUACGUG